AGCCUUGAAGUAUUACUACGUCAGAUUGCAAAUUUGAAGAUGCAGGUUAGCCGCCGGCCGGGGCUU
rnacentral:tRNA from 2 species